AUUGAACGCUGGCGGCAGGCCUAACACAUGCAAGUCGAGCGAGCGGCGGACGGGUGAGUAAUGUAUGUGGAACUGCCUGAUGUAGGGGGCUAACUACUGGAAACGGUAGCUAAUACAGCAUACGCUCAGAUGUGCCCCGAUGGGAUUAGCUAGUAGGUGGGGUAAUGGCUCACCUAGGCGACGAUCCCUAGCUGGUCUGAGAGGAUGACCAGCCACACUGGAACUGAGACACGGUCCAGACUCCUACGGGAGGCAGCAGUGGGGAAUAUUGCACAAUGGGCGCAAGCCUGAUGCAGCCAUGCCGCGUGUAUGAAGAAGGCCUUCGGGUUGUAAAGCACUUUCAGCGGGGAGGCGUUACCCGCAGAAGAAGCACCGGCUAACUCCGUGCCAGCAGCCGCGGUAAUUC
rnacentral:rRNA from 1 species